AGGAGGAAAGAAAUAUGAUUUGAAUGGAUUCUUUGGGAACGGUGACCAUCAAGAUUGACUCAGCUGAGAAAACAAUCAUGUUCCCUGUUUCAUUGUUUUCAGUUUUGUGUCUUAUUUGUACAUUAUUUGUAUGGAUGUCGGCYAUUUUUAUGCAAUAUCAGCGUAUGGUCCAGUUGACUUAUGAAAUUGCCAAACUGCAAUAUUMAUUAGCCUCGCAAUAAUGAAUUUAGAAAUCAAUUAAUCUUGAAUAAUUAAUGUUUCUACUACAAUGUUUUUGUYAGGCUUUUACAUGUAUGUUAAUAUCUUGUUUGUGAGAUAUCAAGAUUUACAUUGUUUUAUUUUGGAUAAACGCACCAGAACSUGUUUAAAAUGCCAAACAUGGGCUUUUCAUAUACUAUAAGACAAAAAUAUGGCAACAUUUUCUGUAAGAAAUACAAUUUUUUGGUUAUUUUCAUGGGGUAAUAUCGCCAUCUAACUGUUUUGUUUGUGUCUUUAUUUUAUUAUAAACCAGUUUUUAUUUUAAAUUUUUAUCAUUUUUGUAUCAAAAUCCCUCUUGAGAGAGUUACUAUCCUAACAUAUGAAGUGAACAACACAGAGGCGCCUAAAUUAUUUGAAUUUAUUCAUCCACCAAAGUAAAUAUUGGUGGAUGAAUAAUUAUAGAAUAUAUUAUAUUCUAUAAUAUAUGGUUAAAUAUAUUAUAGAAUAUAUUUAAUCAUUUUUUAUCUGCAUAAUUGAAGGAAACGCUUAUCAGAGCAAAGAAUGAAACCAUACACCGUCGUUCAGGGAAGGGAUGCAGACUGGUAGAAGGGGAACUGACCUGGAGUCAGUUUUCAUUGUCUGUUUUAUUUUCCUCUUUCUUUGUAUACAGAUUAAAUCUUUCUCCAUUAUGUUCCAGUUCUGUUUUACUGUAUAUUUCCAGCAGCUCAUUUAGUUGCUUUAUUUGUACUGUUUCCCAUUCAUGUUUAAUAAAGCUGUUAUUUUUAAAUCUUUACUCUAAA